CAGGCCCCCAGCAUCACAGCCGGGCUUUCUUGUGACACACCGGCUGGUCUGAGAGUCUGUUUUCCCCACUGGGGUACAGUCCUCUUGAAGCAGAAAAGCGCCUUGCUCCCCUUGCCCUCCUAGCAGCAGCAUCGGGGCACAGCUCUGAGCCCCUGGAAUGAACCUGAGCCCCAGAGAGGCCCACGCGGAGCAAGGGAGGCAGGUGGGCGCCCUCACCUUCUGCCUCAGUGGCAGCAAGAAAGGCGCAGGCUCUCGGGGACCCGGAGACUUGACUUUGCACUUGGAUUCUACGACUUAUUGAGUGACGGAGGACAUGUUCACCUUCAUUUUAAAGGUUCAUGGCAUCACUGAAAUGGAAUAGCAGAUCCUCAGGUGAUCCGCAGCAAAAUAUAACUGAAACAGCCGAAGCAGACCAGCAAGCUGACCCACUUGCUGCGCCCCCUUCAGUCACGACUGAUCCUUAGAUUUCACGUAAUGAAGUCCCUGGAAUGUGGGAGGUGUGGAAAAUACACACGCCGGCUGGGUGGUUAUCUGGAGUAGAAGAGAGACAGCUGCAAAGCGGUGGAGCAGGAGAAGCAAGUAAAACAGACGCAGAAGGACCGCCCUUCCCUGAAUGCAGCACCCCUGAAAGACAGCGCCAGACGAGUCAACGUGUCCAUGGGCUGAGAGAAGAGCCAACCGGAACACCCACAAACACAUCUACCCCGAAUACGUGUUUGAUCUUCAGUAUAAAGAUCAAUGAAAUAUGUUUGGGGCACCUUCAGAACUUUUUUAAGAAUUACAAUUUUGGCGUUUUAGAGACAAGGGAAAGAGAAAAGCAGUGAACUUCACCAUCAUCUGACGAAGUGGCCAAAGAGCUGCCCCUAAGAGAAGGUGGAGAAGCCCAUCUUGUAUGUCCCAGUUGUGAACAUUCUUCUGCAGAAAUAAUCACACCAAAGAACACGAGUGGACAAGCUUUUUCUGUACAGAUUUUACACUUGAAGGCCACAUGUUUGUGUUGCAACUGUUGAACUCUGCCGUUGUGCAAAAGCAGCCACAGACAACAGUUACCCAAAUCAGCAUGGCUAUGUUCCAAUAAAACGGUACUUACAAAAAUAGCUGGUGGGCCACAAUUUGCAAACCCCUUAUCUAGAGGAAUAAAUACUGGCAGCAUUCAAGAAA